CCAUGCCUUGAUCGACUUCGAGGCAUGGCUUGGAGUUGGGGGUUGCUGGCAGCGAAGAGUUGUCAGCUCUCCUGAAAUGCAUUAGCAAAGGACGGGCAAGUCUUUGACGUGCACGGCCUUCGACGUGAUAAUGAUCGUCGUGGCUGGAGCGUCGGACAUGCAUGAAUCGUUCCCUGCUUCUAAUACCUCGAGUCGCUCCUAGCUACUAGUCGGUCGUGAGGCUGACGAACGUUGGGCAGAGCGUCACCUUUCGAAACUUGACCUCAAAUCAGGUAGGACUACCCGCUGAACUUAAGCAUAUCAAUAAGCGGAGGAAAAGAAACUAACAAGGAUUCCCCUAGUA
rnacentral:rRNA from 1 species